rnacentral:rRNA from 1 species
AUGCACAUCGUCAUCUUCCCGUGGCUCGCGUUCGGGCACAUGAUCCCCUUGCUGGAGCUUGCGGAGCGCCUGGUGGCGCGCGGCCACCGCGUCUCCUUCGUCUCCACGCCGCGCAAUCUCAGCCGGCUCCGGCCGGUCGCCGGCGUCCACUUCGUCGCCCUGCCGCUGCCCCGCGUGGACGGCCUCCCGGAGGGAGCCGAGGCCACCUCCGACCUCCCGCCCAGUCCCGGCAACUUGAGCGACCUUCUACUGAAGGCCGCCGACGGCCUCGUCGGGCCAUUCUCCGCCUUCCUCGACGAGGGCGAGAAGCCAGACUGGCUCGUCCUCGACAACCUCCACUACCUAGCCGCAGCCGCCGCCGGCGACCGAGGCGUGCCGUCCGUGAUGUUCCUCCCCUUCGCCGCCGCGUCGACCGCGCUCUGGGGCGUGCCGCGUGUGUCCACGGUGGUGGACCCAGAGCUAGGGGCGACCGUGCCCCAGCGCUUCGUGCUAACCUACCAGUGCUGCAAGAUCGUCGCCCAGCGGUGCUGCGUGGAGUUCGACCCCGAGGCCGUGCCUCUGCUGCCCGGCGUCCUGGGAAAGCCGUUCGCCCCUAUGGGCCUGCUGCCGCCGCCGCCUCUGAGUCUGAGGGCGAAUUCGAAUAAUGAAGGUGGCGAGCUCGUGUCAUGGCUGGACCGGCAUCCGGCGAAAUCCGUCGUCUACGUCGCGCUGGGAACCGAAGCGCCGCUGACCACCGAGCUGGUGCACGAGCUAGCCAUCGGCCUGGAGCUCGCCGGGACGCCAUUCCUGUGGGCUCUGAGGAAGGUCGGCGACUAAGACGUUCUUCCUCCGGGCUUCGAGGAGCGCGCCAAGGGCCGUGGCAUCGUGGCGAUGGGGAUGGUUCCGCAGACGAGGAUGCUAGCGCACGGCUCCGUGGGCGCGUUCCUCACGCACAGCGGGCCGGGCUCCGCCAUCGAGGGGAUCCAGUAUGGGCAUCCCCUCAUCAUGCUGCCCUUCUUCGGAGACCAACAGACGGGGGCUCAGUUCAUGGAGAGGAAGAAGGUGGGUCUGCUGGUGCCGAGGAACGGGGAGGAUGGAGUGUCUUUUGACCGGCAAGGCGUCGCGUCGACGGUCCGGGCCGUCGUGGUGGACGAGCAAGCAGGACGCCUCUUCGCCGCCAAUGCCAAGAAGUGGCAGCAGGUUGUCGCGGACACUGCCUGCCAUGAGAGGUACAUCGAUGAGUUCGUUCAGCAACUCAGGUUCUACAAGGACCAGUGA